GACGAACGCUGGCGGCGCGCCUAACACAUGCAAGUCGAACGAGCGAGAGAGAGCUUGCUUUCUCGAGCGAGUGGCGAACGGGUGAGUAACGCGUGAGGAACCUGCCUCAAAGAGGGGGACAACAGUUGGAAACGACUGCUAAUACCGCAUAAGCCCACAGCUCGGCAUCGAGCAGAGGGAAAAGGAGCAAUCCGCUUUGAGAUGGCCUCGCGUCCGAUUAGCUAGUUGGUGAGGUAACGGCCCACCAAGGCGACGAUCGGUAGCCGGACUGAGAGGUUGAACGGCCACAUUGGGACUGAGACACGGCCCAGACUCCUACGGGAGGCAGCAGUGGGGAAUAUUGCACAAUGGGGGAAACCCUGAUGCAGCGACGCCGCGUGGAGGAAGAAGGUCUUCGGAUUGUAAACUCCUGUUGUUGAGGAAGAUAAUGACGGUACUCAACAAGGAAGUGACGGCUAACUACGUGCCAGCAGCCGCGGUAAAACGUAGGUUACAAGCGUUGUCCGGAAUUACUGGGUGUAAAGGGAGCGCAGGCGGGAAGACAAGUUGGAAGUGAAAUCCAUGGGCUCAACCCAUGAACUGCUUUCAAAACUGUUUUUCUUGAGUAGUGCAGAGGUAGGCGGAAUUCCCGGUGUAGCGGUGGAAUGCGUAGAUAUCGGGAGGAACACCAGUGGCGAAGGCGGCCUACUGGGCACCAACUGACGCUGAGGCUCGAAAGUGUGGGUAGCAAACAGGAUUAGAUACCCUGGUAGUCCACGCUGUAAACGAUGAUUACUAGGUGUUGGAGGAUUGACCCCUUCAGUGCCGCAGUUAACACAAUAAGUAAUCCACCUGGGGAGUACGACCGCAAGGUUGAAACUCAAAGGAAUUGACGGGGGCCCGCACAAGCAGUGGAGUAUGUGGUUUAAUUCGACGCAACGCGAAGAACCUUACCAAGUCUUGACAUCCUGCGAUGGUGCUGGAAACAGUACUUUCCUUCGGGACGCAGAGACAGGUGGUGCAUGGUUGUCGUCAGCUCGUGUCGUGAGAUGUUGGGUUAAGUCCCGCAACGAGCGCAACCCUUAUGGUCAGUUACUACGCAAGAGGACUCUGGCCAGACUGCCGUUGACAAAACGGAGGAAGGUGGGGAUGACGUCAAAUCAUCAUGCCCUUUAUGACUUGGGCUACACACGUACUACAAUGGCGUUAAACAAAGAGAAGCAAGACCGCGAGGUGGAGCAAAACUCAGAAACAACGUCCCAGUUCGGACUGCAGGCUGCAACUCGCCUGCACGAAGUCGGAAUUGCUAGUAAUCGCAGAUCAGCAUGCUGCGGUGAAUACGUUCCCGGGCCU
rnacentral:rRNA from 1 species